GAUGAACGCUGGCGGCGUGCCUAAUACAUGCAAGUCGAGCGAACGGACGAGGAGCUUGCUUCUCUGAUGUUUGCGGCGGGCGGGGGAGUAACACGUGGAGAACCCACCUAUAAGACUGGGAUCACCUCGGGAAACCGGAGCUUAUACCGGAUGAUAUUUUGAACCGCAUGGUUCAAAAGUGAAAGACGGGGUUUCUGUCACUUAUAGAUGGAUCCGCGCUGCAUUAGCUAGUUGGGAAGGUAAAGGCUUACCAAGGCAACGAAGCAUAGCCGACCUGAGAGGGUGAUCGGCCACACUGGAACUGAGACACGGUCCAGACUCCUACGGGAGGCAGCAGUAGGGAAUCUUCCGCAAUGGGCGAAAGCCUGACGGAGCAACGCCGCGUGAGUGAUGAAGGUCUUCGGAUCGUAAAACUCUGUUAUUAGGGAAGAACAUAUGUGUAAGUAACUGUGCACAUCUUGACGGUACCUAAUCAGAAAGCCACGGCUAACUACGUG
rnacentral:rRNA from 1 species